rnacentral:rRNA from 1 species
CCCUUAGAUGUUCUGGGCCGCACGCGCGCUACACUGAACAACUCAACGAGUUUUUACAUUUUUGUAAUUUCCUUGACCGGAAGGUUUGGGUAAUCUUUUGAAUAUUGUUCGUGAUGGGGCUAGACCCUUGCAAUUAUUGGUCUCCAACGAGGAAUUCCUAGUAAACGCGAGUCAUCAGCUCGCAUUGAUUACGUCCCUGCCGUAAGUUUUAAAAAUGAAAACGUUGGAAGCGAAAACGUUUUUGAUACAGAAAAAACUAACCUCUCUUUUGUGUUUUGGAAAAAACUUUUAGCUUUGUACACACCGCCCGUCGCACCUACCGAUUGAACGAUCCGGUGAAAUCGUUGGAGUUGUGUUUUUUUCUUUAUUGAAUGAGAUGCGAUAAAAACGAGUAAACCUUAUCGUUUAGAGGAAGGUGAAGUCGUAACA